CAUGCUUGCUCUAUGGUUCCAGGUUCCAUGAAGUGAUAUGUUAUAAGACAUAUCGAUCUGCAACAGAAUCUGAGCAUUUUUUUUCCAGUCAGUGCUCAUGAAAAGGAAGUACAAAGAGUAAAGAGAGUUAAGGAAGAGAGCCUACCCAGUGUGGAAGCCAAUAGCAUAAAGCACAGCCUGGGAAAGAAGAUGACACAGGAGAGAAAGAAAGACUUAAUCAUAAUGAAAUGAUGCAACUCAUGAAUCCAACCAUGGCUGAAGACAUAAUUUUUCUGGAGGUUUCAUUGAUGAGCCAGCAUCAUCAGAUGAUCAUGGCUUCCAGAUUAUAUCACCUAAACAAUUGAAAUUGAGAUUAUGCACCUGAUUAAACAAGUCUUAGGAAAUAGAAAAAAAAAAAUGGAGGGUACCUCUUAUUUACAGAGUAUGUGUUUUCAACCUCAU